UACGUAGGGAGCAAGCGUUGUCCGGAAUCAUUGGGCGUAAAGCGCGCGUAGGCGGCCCCGUAAGUCCGCUGUGAAAGUCAAAGGCUCAACCUUUGAAAGCCGGUGGAUACUGUCGGGCUAGAGUGCGGAAGAGGCGAGUGGAAUUCCUGGUGUAGCGGUGAAAUGCGCAGAUAUCAGGAGGAACACCGAUUGCGAAGGCAGCUCGCUGGGACGUAACUGACGCUGAGACGCGAAAGCGUGGGGAGCAAACAGG
rnacentral:rRNA from 1 species